CCUACGGGGGACAGCAGUGAGGAAUAUUGGUCAAUGGACACAAGUCUGAACCAGCCAUGCCGCGUGCAGGAAGACGGCUCUAUGAAUUGUAAACCGCUUUUGUACGAGGACAAACGCAGAUACGUGUAUCUGUCUGAGUGUAUCGUACGAAAAAGGAUCGGCUAACUCCGUGCCAGCAGCCGCGGUAAUACGGAGGAUUCAAGCGUUAUCCGGAUUUAUUGGGGUUAAAGGGUGCGUAGGCGGUCGGAUAAGUUAGAGGUGAAAUCCCGAGGCUCAACUUCGGAAUUGCCUCUGAUACUGUUCGGCUAGAGAGUGGUUGCGGUAGGCGGAAUGUACGGUGUAGCGGUGAAAUGCUUAGAUAUCAUACAGAACACCGAUUGCGAAGGCAGCAUACCAAGCUACUUCUGACGUUGAGGCACGAAAGCGUGGGGAGCAAACAGGAUUAGAUACCCUAGUAGUC
rnacentral:rRNA from 1 species